AACGAACGCUGGCGGCAUGCCUAACACAUGCAAGUCGAACGAGAACUUCGGGUCUUGUGGCGCACGGGUGCGUAACGCGUGGGAACCUGCCCUUAGGUUCGGAAUAACUCCCCGAAAGGGGUGCUAAUACCAGAUAAUGUCUUCGGCCCAAAGAUUUAUCGCCUUUGGAUGGGCCCGCGUUGGAUUAGCUAGUUGGUAGGGUAAAAGCCUACCAAGGCGACGAUCCAUAGCUGGUCUGAGAGGAUGAUCAGCCACACUGGGACUGAGACACGGCCCAGACUCCUACGGGAGGCAGCAGUGGGGAAUAGUGGACAAUGGGCGAAAGCCUGAUCCAGCAAUGACGCGUGAGUGAUGAAGGCCUUAGGGUAGUAAAGCUCUUUUACCCGGGAUGAUAAUGACGGUACCGGGAGAAUAAGCUCCGGCUAACUCCGUG
rnacentral:rRNA from 1 species